UACGUAGGGUGCGAGCGUUGUCCGGAAUUAUUGGGCGUAAAGGGCUCGUAGGCGGUUUGUCGCGUCGGGAGUGAAAACCAGGUGCUUAACACCUGGCUUGCUUUCGAUACGGGCAGACUAGAGGUAUUCAGGGGAGAACGGAAUUCCUGGUGUAGCGGUGAAAUGACGCAGAUAUCAGGAGGAACACCGGUGGCGAAGGCGGUUCUCUGGGCAUUAACUGACGCUGAGGAGCGAAAGCAUGGGGAGCGAACAGG
rnacentral:rRNA from 1 species